GAUGAACGCUGGCGGCGUGUCUAAUACAUGCAAGUCGAGCGAACGGACGAGAAGCUUGCUUCUCUGAUGUUAGCGGCGGACGGGUGAGUAACACGUGGAUAACCUACCUAUAAGACUGGGAUAACUUCGGGAAACCGGAGCUAAUACCGGAUAAUAUUUUGAACCGCAUGGUUCAAAAGUGAAAGACGGUCUUGCUGUCACUUAUAGAUGGACCCGCGCUGCAUUAGCUAGUUGGUAAGGUAACGGCUUACCAAGGCAACGAUGCAUAGCCGACCUGAGAGGGUGAUCGGCCACACUGGAACUGAGACACGGUCCAGACUCCGACGGGAGGCAGCAGUAGGGAAUCUUCCGCAAUGGGCGAAAGCCUGACGGAGCAACGCCGCGUGGGUGAUGAAGGUCUACGGAUCGUAAAACUCUGUUAUUAGGGAGGAACAUAUGUGUAAGUAACUGUGCACAUCUUGACGGUACCGAAUCAGAAAGCCACGGCUAACUACGUG
rnacentral:rRNA from 1 species